UUCAUUUCACUCAUUCCAUCUUUCAUUCCACUCGUUUCAUAUUUCAUUCCACUCAUUUCAUCUAUAACCUCGCUUUCAAGAAACAGAACGUAGUUAUUUCUCAGACGAUUGAUUUCUUCACUGAGUUUUUCAACUUCCUUUGUAGGAAAAUCUGAUUCUUUCAUGUUGCCAAUCCUCUCCAGAGAUGUCGUGCUAAAAUUCAAAGCAGUGAACACGUCUUUGACGUGCUUGACAUAGUCAUCGAACGUGACUUUAUUAAUUUGAGGGCUGGAUGUAUGACAAAGGGUGUUUCGUAAAAGACGAAGCUGGUCAAUGGCAAGUGCAAUCGUUUCAUUUGCA